AGUGAACGCUGGCGGUAGGCCUAACACAUGCAAGUCGAACGGCAGCACAGUAAGAGCUUGCUCUUACGGGUGGCGAGUGGCGGACGGGUGAGGAAUACAUCGGAAUCUACUUUUUCGUGGGGGAUAACGUAGGGAAACUUACGCUAAUACCGCAUACGACCUACGGGUGAAAGCAGGGGAUCUUCGGACCUUGCGCGAUUGAAUGAGCCGAUGUCGGAUUGGCUAGGUGGCGGGGGAAAGGCCCACCAAGGCGACGAUCCGUAGCUGGUCUGAGAGGAUGGUCAGACACACUGGAACUGAGACACGGUCCAGACUCCUACGGGAGGAAGCAGUGGGGAAUAUUGGACAAGGGGGGCAAGCCUGAUCCAGCCAUACCGCGUGGGUGAAGAAGGCCUUCGGGUUGUAAAGCCCUUUUGUUGGGAAAGAAAAGCAGCAGGUUAAUACCCCGCUGUUCUGACGGUACCCAAAGAAUAAGCACCGGCUAACUUCGUG
rnacentral:rRNA from 1 species